rnacentral:rRNA from 1 species
CCUACGGGAGGCAGCAGUGGGGAAUAUUGCACAAUGGGGGAAACCCUGAUGCAGCGACGCAGCGUGCGGGAUGACGGCCUUCGGGUUGUAAACCGCUUUCAGCAGGGACGAAGCUUUUUGUGACGGUACCUGCAGAAGAAGCACCGGCUAACUACGUGCCAGCAGCCGCGGUAAU